rnacentral:rRNA from 1 species
GACGUAGGGCGCGAGCGUUGUCCGGAUUUAUUGGGCGUAAAGAGCUCGUAGGCGGCUUGUCGCGUCGACUGUGAAAUCCCGCGGCUCAACCGCGGGCUUGCAGUCGAUACGGGCAGGCUUGAGUUCGGUAGGGGAGACUGGAAUUCCUGGUGUAGCGGUGAAAUGCGCAGAUAUCAGGAAGAACACCCGUGGCGAAGGCGGCUCUCUGGUACGUGACUGACGCUGAGACGCGAAAGCGUGGGGAGCAAACAGG